rnacentral:rRNA from 1 species
CACGCGCAGAACACGCGUUAAUAGGCGGUAGGUGGAAGUGCAGUAAUGCAUGCAGCCGAGCCGUACUAAUAGACCGAGGGCUUGACCAC